CCAGUGAGACACCAGUCCUUCCAGAAACAUUCUAGGGAUUUCCUCUCACGGUCUGAAGCAUGGGAGGAGUGAGCACUCUGAGGAUUUGGGAUGAAAGGGUUAGCACUGCUGUGCUGAUUAUUCACUCAUUACAUGUGAGUAAACACCGUCAGAGCUUAAUGUGGAUUAAGAGAAGACAGAGCCUCUCUAUCAUCAGCCUGGAAGGGAAAGAAGAAAGCUGACAGCUGGGGAAACUCUACAGAAGGUGGCAGAGAUGUGUGUGAGACUGGUUCACACGUCCUGCUCAGAGGUCUCACCUCGGCUGCGGAGCAGGAGUCACAUGUGACGCGGCGGUUUGUGGGAACAGUGCUCGGGACGCAGAUCCACAGUCGACACCUGGCGAUCAAAUCCACAGAAAUAUCCUUCAA